CCCCUCGACGAAGAAGAUUUCGUCAGCUACGUCCUUGGAGGACUUGGAUCGGAAUACGAUCCACUCGUUGCCUCCAUCACCACCGGAGUUGACGAGGCGAGCUCGGACACGCUGUAUGCUCACCUCCUCACCUUCGAGC
rfam:Brachypodium distachyon strain Bd21 chromosome 3, whole genome shotgun sequence.